rnacentral:rRNA from 1 species
UACAGAGGGGGCAAGCGUUGUUCGGAAUUACUGGGCGUAAAGGGCGCGUAGGCGGCCUUCUAAGUCGAACGUGAAGUCCCCGGGCUCAACCCGGGAACUGCGUCCGAGACUGGAAGGCUUGAAUCCGGGAGAGGGAUGUGGAAUUCCCGGUGUAGUGGUGAAAUGCGUAGAGAUCGGCAGGAACACCCAAGGGGAAGCCAGCUGGCUGGGCAUUUGCUGACGCUCAUGUGCGACAGCGUGGGGAGCGAACUGG